AAUCAUCAUCUGUGUGCCCCUAAUUCAUGUUGUUUUUGGCAUUUUGCCUAUGAGAAUUGUGAUUACUAAAAGGCGCUAAUUUUUUCCCUUAUUCUUUUGUUUAAACAUCAAAGAAUGAUUUCCUAAACGUCUUUUCUGGUUCUUUCUUGUGAAUUUAAAGUAUAGAUGACUAGCUCCAGAAUAUUAGCUCCUUUUUGGAAAGAGUUAAUCAUCUAGUUGAUGGAUACGGGUUAAAUUUCUCUUUGUUGUGCAGUAUUUUGAACUGUUGAUGUCAGGUAUGUGUUGGGUUUCUUUCGUCAUUUUGGUUGGGUUAGUACAUUGUAUCUGUUUUAUAGGUAUGUGUUGGGUUUCUUUCGUCAUUUUGGUUGGGUUAGUAUUUUGAACUGUUGAUGUCAGGUAUGUGUUGGGUUUCUUUCGUCAUUUUGGUUGGGUUAGUACAUUGUAUCUGUUUUAUAGGUGUGGAGGUGCAAUACUAAAUAUUGUUCUAAUGAGUUUCGAUUUUGUUCUUUUUAUGAGAAAUUCGAACUGUGGGUCUGAUGAGGUUUAUCCUUCUUAUUGUGUCCUUUGCAAUUAGAAUUAGACAACAAGUUUCCAGCAGUAGCAUAAAUCAGUUGCCAGGAAAGAUUGGAUUGCUACAGGGGAAAACUGAAAAGAAGGGGGAAAUUAAAAAGAUUGAAGGGGAAAACUGAAAUUUUACAGAUUUUGAUGAAGUUUUUAGCAGUCACCAGCAGAUUCGGCACAAACUGAAGCUACAGGGGGAAAAAAUCAAGUUAGCAGUCAACAACAGAAGCUAACUGGAAAAGAUUCAAGAGGGAGACUUACCUGAUUUUGAGAAAAAAAUCAAUAAUUCCUUUUACUUAGCAGUCAGCAACUUAACAGUCAACAGCAG